rnacentral:misc_RNA from 1 species
AUUGGCUUGUGUUGGCGCGUUGGAUCCCUGCUCAGGCAGCGACAACGUCCCACGCAUGCCUCCUCAGUUGUUGGCCGAGCAUGUCUCGGCCAUUGUCGGUUUCUUGUGCAGAAUACCUACUGGGAAGGCAUUCUUCGGUUGCGAACGGAAAGCUUCCGCCUGGUGCUGCGCGCCUUCGGGGUGCGGCGUCGGGUGGACCUCGAAGCACGCUUCGUGUCCCACAUCCCUUGCGCAUCCUUGUGCUCGGGUUGCUGGCCCAUGUUGCCGUGCGUGAGCUCUCGGGUGAGGAACAUUGUGGGGGCAUGAGGCCCUCGGCCUCUAUAUUGCCAAAAGAAUAAGCGUUCUACGCUUCGUGCGAAUGACUGCCGCGGGCGUGUUGAUCGGGUCCUCGUGGCUCGGCUCAUGCGCCCGCGGCGUCUGUGGGGAA